UAAAAUAAAUUAAAUCGGUUCACUUACUUUUAAACGAUUUUAUAUAUAUCCGGGUAGAAUAUUGACUUCUACUUUGAAUGGAUAUGUAAUGUGUUCUACCUUCAGUACGUAAUAUUCACGUACUGAAAAAACUUAAGCAAGUGUUUACACGAACACGGAAGGAAUAUAUACAUUUAUUUAUUUACUGGCUUGAAUUUGUUCAACAGAUCCAUGUACACGACUACAAUGAUGUAAAAGCUUUCUACUGAAUACAACUUAGUAACAACAGCCUCGAGACGAUGGCCUUUCUUUCCAAUACCGCGUUGUAUGCGUUCAUCUUCGCUGCGAUUGCAAUGUUCAUCAUCUGCAUGAUCGUAUGUAACGUCAGACGACGAUUUAAACAACCACGUGGAUUGCAGCGUGGCACUGAACAAAGGAAUCCGUCCACUGAUCCUUCAUUUAAUAUGAUAUACUCCAUAAGUUUACAAAGAGAUCCAGUUCUUAGAAACUGUGUGACCGCUUACCUAGAGAGGACGGCGCAAACUGACCGCGAUACUCCGCAAGUAGACAUGUUCGCUGGGCUGCCAACUUACGAGGAAGCGGUUGAAAAAUCGGUAGAGGAACCGAUGGACAAGCCUCCACCUUAUCACCUCAUAUCAAAUGACCAAGGUGGUCAAGUGUGAGCAACUGUCGUCUGUUAUUAUUUUCGUUUGGUUUCAAAUUCAGAAUCACUGUGAAUCUGUGAUCUUCAAGUUGACACUGCAAUUAAAUCAAAUUGAUUUAAUAUAAGUGCACCUUUGCCACUGUUAUAAAGUUGUUUUACGUGUUUAUAUUUCUUUAUGUAUCAUUUAUGUAUGCUUAUAGUGAUAUUAUAUGCUGUUUUAUUUUCCAUAUGCAUUCCCGUUUCUUGGUCACCCUGUGUUAAAAUGCAACCAUAUAAUCAGAUUAUUAUUGUUUUCUGAUCUAAUAUUUCAUCUCUGUUAAAAAUUUGAACAUGCUAAAUUCUGUGAACAAUUGAAAAUACGUACGCAUUUUAAUAAAUUUACAAUUUACUGAA